AACCCAUGUGAACAUACCUACUGUUGCUUCGGCGGGAUUGCCCCGGGCGCCUCGUGUGCCCCGGAUCAGGCGCCCGCCUAGGAAACUCAACUCUUGUUUUAUUUUGGAAUCUUCUGAGUAGUUUUUACAAAUAAAUAAAAACUUUCAACAACGGAUCUCUUGGUUCUGGCAUCGAUGAAGAACGCAGCGAAAUGCGAUAAGUAAUGUGAAUUGCAGAAUUCAGUGAAUCAUCGAAUCUUUGAACGCACAUUGCGCCCGCCAGUAUUCUGGCGGGCAUGCCUGUCUGAGCGUCAUUUCAACCCUCAUGCCCCUAGGGCGUGGUGUUGGGGAUCGGCCAAAGCCCGCGAGGGACGGCCGGCCCCUAAAUCUAGUGGCGGACCCGUCGUGGCCUCCUCUGCGAAGUAGUGAUAUUCCGCAUCGGAGAGCGACGAGCCCCUGCCGUUAAACCCCCAACUUUCCAAGGUUGACCUCAGAUCAGGUAGGAAUACCCGCUGAACUUAAGCAUAUCAAUAAGCGGAGGA
rnacentral:rRNA from 1 species